GCACGUAAUCGACUUAACUUUCCUUUCUCCUUCCUUCCUCUCUUUGUAAAAGCCCCACGCAAUGACGCUAACCACCUUCCUCCUCGCUUCUCAAAUCUUCCCGCUUCCUCCUCAAACGUACAUCGGACCCUACUUUUCUCCGUCUACGUCGGAACCUUCCCCGUCAAAUCCACCAUAGGAUUCUCCCCGAUCGUCUCGAUCGCUGAAUAUAUUGUGGAAUCAACAGAUUGAUAGUCAGACGGCGGAACCUUCCCCGAUCGUCUACUAUUGUUUGUUGAUUGAUUGCGUAGGGAUUUUAAGUUUGCGUUGGUGGCGAAGGAUCGAUGGAGAGAUCUAGUAAAUGUGCUGUUUGCUACUCUUCGUUUCGUGCUUCGAUCUGCGUAGCGUGUGUGAAUCGCAGCUUACACGAAUGCAAAACUGUGCUGGACUCGUUGAAGAGCCGCCGAGAGGUUUCGUACUCGAGACUGAGUAGCUUGCUCGUCGCUAAGGAGAGAGCAAUGAUUCAGCAGUGUUGGAUGGAUCUUCACAACGAGAAGCUUGAUAAGCUGCGGGACAAGCUCGAGCUACAAGUGGAGAAGUUACAGAAAAGCAAAAGCACGUUUCGGAGACUGUCUAGCAAUCUGAAAGAGAGAUAUGGCGUUAUUGAAUCGACUAAUGUUGCUUUGGAGAAGAGCCGUGUUCGCCAACUGGAGAAUCACUAUUCAGAUACUAUUGGCGAUCACUACUUGGUUUAUAUCGAGCUUACUUCAGAACGCCUUUAUAAACAGGCUUUGGUUAUGAAACAGAUAUGCAAAUUAUUCCCUCUAUCAAAGGUGACGGUAGAGGGCCAUAACAAAUAUGGGAGUAGUGGACAGUAUGAUCAGAUCUGCAAUGCUGUCCUACCACAAGGUCUCAACCCACUCUCUGUUCCUCCAAAAGAGCUGGCAGCCUCUUUAGGGUACAUGGUGCAGCUUCUGAAUCUUGUUGUCCAUAAGCUCGCAGUGCCUGCACUCCAUAACUUGGGUUUUGGGGGUUCUUGUUCAAGAAUAUGGCAACGAGAUUCAUAUUGGAAAUCUCACCCGUCUUCUCCAAGCGAUGAGUAUCCUCUCUUUGUACCAUCCCAUGAUUACUUCUCAGUUGAAGGGAAAAGUUCCUGGACAGGUAGAGACACAACCAAUUUUGGUGUCACUUCACUGAAAUCAGAUGGAAGUGUAGAAGAAGAUUACCAUGACCUCGACGUGGUCAACCUCUCCUCUGCAUCUCCACAUUCUGCCGAAACGUUCAGAAAUGUGCAGAGAGGGAUUGCGCAUCUCAAGCAAAGCGUGGCUCACUUAACUGCGUAUGGAUACAGUUCCCUGUCUAUGGAAGUUCCUUCUGGAGCCUCGACUUUUGAAACAUUCGCAAAGUUGCUGAACACAUUGUCUUCAAUCAAGGAAGUUCAGUCUGCUCUUUCUCUUGGUUUCUCAAGUUCCAACAAACAAAAACAAGAGCCCAACAAAUCAGUGUGGAAUCUGAACUCCUCAAGCUCCAGCACCAUGCUGAACAGCUCUCAUAUCCAGCCAACUUCAUGGAACAACAAAAGCUAUUAUAAUGUUCCAAAUCGAGAUCCCAGCUCUAUUGACGAGUGGAAUUUGGUGGAGUAUCCUCAUUUUUCACAUCAAGCUAUGAAGUUCAAUUUUCCCAACAAGUAUUGAACAUCUCAAGGUGUACUUGGGAAGAAUGUAAGAAAUCGGAGGAAAAAAAAGUUACUGAGAAGAUAACGUGAAAAUGCAAUAAACUGCGUAACUUUUAUGGUCAUAAACGAAAAGGAAUGAAAGAAGAUAACGAAAAUAGUGGAAGAUUGGUGUCUUCGUGAUGAAUUAAAGUAGAAAUGUGUGUACGUAACUUUUGUGAUCAUACCAUCUUUUUCUUUCUCAAUUACAACACGUAACAAUGAUAGAUAUGUAAUCCAUGCAUAAAUAACCUAUAUGAUAUAUAUGAAUUAGUAUUUCUUUCUAGAAAUUUUAUGAAUGAUAUACUCAUAAUCGGAGGUACACUUACAUAUACUAAAAAACUUCACAUGAUUGUAAAUUGUGAUACUCCGUUCUCUGAUCCAUAUUACAUGAUAUACUUAUCUAUGUUCUUCUCUUUGAUUACAAAAUAACUCUAGCUAAUAAAAAGACUUUUUUUUGUUUUGAACAUAACUAAUAAAAAGACUUUUUUAGCAAAAAACUAAUAAAAAGACUUACAUACAGUAUUGAAUGAAUCAAGCCAAGAUAUGUAUGAUCUCUCGUUAAACCAAUCGAUCCGUGACAUGAUCAUACAAGCAAUAGCAAUGCUAUUCUUUUAAUUUGUUUAUAGUUGUGUAUCAGCGCACCGAUUCAUGUUUAUCAUAUUAUAUGAAUUGAAAAACAUUUAUAGAUGGACUCUUUAUUAAAGUAAAACCAAGACAGGAAAUAAAGCUAGAUAAAAAAAAUAAUCAGACAUGCUUGUCUUUGUCGAACACACAGAUUUUAUUACACAAGUGGUGCCAAACUAGUUAAGAUCCAUAAUUUUAAAAUAAGGGAGAGGUUUAACAAUGUUAUCUUUUGUGUUUUGUAGGCCAUUAUAUAAAGCUCCAAUUAUUUGUCACUAAGUCAGGGAAGAAGGCUUGGCAAAAAGAUGCCACUGCAGAACCUUAUGGACCACCUCAAAAUAAACCCAAAGUUGUAAAUGAGAUUAUUCUUCAGCAGACCCAUGAGCAUGAAAGAUGAAACGGUUUCUAGAGUAUUGGAUUGAACUCUGACCGAUUUGUAGAUAAUUCACGAUAUAAAUAUCUUAUAAUUUCAAAUUUAUAAUAUUAAAAUGAAUGUUUUAUGUGAAACUAAUAUUUUCUUUCUUUUUUGAGCAACCUAAUAUUUUCUUUUAAUUUUUAUUUUUUUACAAAGGGCUCUGCAAGAGUUUCUGGUUGCUGACAUCAUCUGGUGCGUACUUAACAGAUACAAACGCACGACUAGGUCACCCUUUGGCUCUGUGAAAGAAGCACUCAUCUCUAAACGUUUCGUUACUUUACAAACAUGAUUAAUACUAAUAUUAUGGGAUUCUUUAUUAUAAAUAAUUUGAACAAAAAAAAUGAUGAAUUGUUAAACCUGUAACUUGGCUAAUAUUCUAAUGUUGACGGACACAUAUAAAGGAAAGAGAAAAGGCCAAAAACCAAAGAAAAUAUCCUUUUUAUCAUCUCCUUGCCAUGAUGAGAACGCUGGACCUUUAAGUAUAUUUUCUUUACUGUGAAUGUCCAAAGAAACUCGAAAACACUCUCCUUCCCUUAGAUUUUCCUGUGGUUGGAAUGAAAAAUAUCUUUGUCUGAUCCGGAGAUUACGAAGAAAUGUAUUUCUUUAACUCUUCAUCAUGAAUGGUUUAUCUGUUCAGUGAGCUAAUAUAAUUUUGGUGCAAGCUUAUUGGAUCUAUACUUGAAG